UUGACACUUCAUAUAUCAUGAUUUUACACUCAUUGUGAAAACAUUCGGGUUGAGGUACUGUAGGGUUUAAAAAAUAGUGGCGACAACGAAAAUGAGUUGUUGAAAAGAUGCGAAGAAGAAGUCGGCAUACUCAAAAAAGAAAUGUCUAGCUACUGGCUUUUUUACAGUAUAAUUGGAAAAUGAGAUAGAUGUCAAUAGCUUCAACUUUUAUGCGAAUGAGUGCUUACCAAUGGCGAAAAGGUUAAUCCUGAAGAGAGGCAUGUUUCCCUGUCCGGCUCAGACAGUGACCCGGAAUAAUGUAGCUGUUAUCGUCUGUAUUUAUUAUUUGAACUACCAUAGCUCUUUUCCGGGAUUACAUAUUUUUUUAAGAUUUCGUAUCGUAUCCGAAUUCUUGUUUAAACGGGCUUUUUCCUCCUUCGUUUUCCUUCUUAUCCUUCUCACUCAUUUCACACAGUAUGUUCUAUUGUUUGUAAUCUCUUUAAUAAUAGCCGUCGUCUGUCUGUCUGUGUGUCCGCGAAUACCGUGUCCCGUAACGGAAACA